AGCCUUAUUCAUUUGCCAUUAUUCAUACCAUUCUAAUUGUUUAUGUUCAAUGUCAUUUUCACUUUGUCUAUUUGGACCAUAUUUUGUGAUAUAUUUUGUUUGUGUGGUCUUUGACUACUAAUGUACAUAAUAAGAACAAAAAAACCCUAAAAAACUUCUUGUGUGGACUGUUGGUUUGAUCUGAGACAAUUAGACUUAGAG
rnacentral:lncRNA from 1 species